AGAUGGGGGGGAUACCCCGGGGAAACCCGGGUCAAUCCCGCAUGUGGUUUUACCUCUUCAUGGAGGUUCAAUCAAAGAUCCUUUACGGGAUUCUGUCUGGAGGAGCUCGCGGCGUAUCAGCUAGUUGGUAGGGUAACGGCCUACCAAGGCGACGACGCGUAGGGGGUCUGAGAGGAUGGCCCCCCACAUGGGGACUGAGAUACGGCCCCGACUCCUACGGGAGGCAGCAGCGGGGAAUCUUGCGCAAUGGGCGAAAGCCUGACGCAGCGACGCCGCGUGCGGGAGGACGCUUUUCGGAGUGUAAACCGCUGUCGGGAGGGACGAACCCUGUGAGGAGGAAAUGUCUCACAGUUGACGGUACCUUCAAAGGAAGCACCGGCUAACUCUGUGCCAGCAGCCGCGGUAAUACAGAGGGUGCAAGCGUUGUUCGGAAUCAUUGGGCGUAAAGCGCACGUAGGCGGCCGUUUAAGUCCGACUGUGAAAGACCGGGGCUCAACCCCGGGGCU
rnacentral:rRNA from 1 species